AUGGCCGCCGGCAACCCCCGCCUCCCCAACUUCAUCCUCCUCGACGCGACCACCCGCAUCAGCGAUCCCCGCAACGGAACCGCCACCGCGUGGGCCUUGACGACGGCGGGCCUCACCAUACAGGUCUCCUUGGUGGUGGCCGCGCCGCCGCGCCUCUCCCACUUCUGCGUCUGCUGCCCCGGCCGCGACGCGACCACCUUCGCGCACGCGCCCGAGGUCGUCUGCUCCGCGGGGGACCACGCCCUUAUCCGGGCCGACUUCACCACCGGCGACUCGGAGUCGCAGCAGCACUUCAUCUACCGAGCCAGGGGCCCCGACGACCGGCCGUCGCUUGACCUGAUCCCGGACUUCACUGGUUAUUCCCGGGCAGAGCUUCUGCAUCUGCCCCUCGGUUUCGUCUCCAGCCGCAACCACUUGGUCAUAGCGGCUCUGAGCUACGGGACGAAGGACUCGCAGUACUAUCUCCACACCCUCAGCUCCGAGCCGCGGUCCAAGUGGACCAAGAAGCUGCUGCAGGUGGAGCUCCCCCAUGGAUUAUCCAGGAAACAGCUUGUGAUCGAUCACGCCAAGGUGAUCGCCCUCGGAGGCGGGCUGCUGGGAUGGGUCGAUCUCUGGGAGGGCAUCCUGAUCUGUGACGUGCUCGAACCCGGGGCAGCCGUGUCACGCUUGGUCCCGAUGCCCAAGCUGCUGCCCAGCAACAAACCACUCUACGGCCAAUCUUUGCCUCGGGCGAUUCGCGACGUCACCUUCAGCCGUGGCUACAUGAGAUGCGUCGAACUUGAGGAGCUGGUAGAACUUAGAGUCAGAACUGUGCCGCCUCUUCCUGACCCCUGGGACAUGGAUGAGCUCCAAGACUCGGAAUUGGCCAUCGAUCCUCCGCAGGAGGAUGGGGAAGAAUAUGUCACCGUUGGUUGGAGGCUCAUCACAUGGUACAGGGCAUUGACUUGGAACUGUUGGCGCAAGGGGAACAGGGUUCAUUCCGAUGAGCUCGGUAGUGUCUCCCCUCAGCUAGGAGGUAGUGCCUGUGGUUUAAAACUGCCACUCAAGGACCUGAGAGUAGCUGCUCCUAUUCUGCGUGGCGACGGUGAUGCUGUUUACCUCGCGUCCGCGCUGCAUAAGCGGGACCCAACUGCAUGGAUUGUCGCUGUUGACACUAGGAGGAAGUCGGUGGAAGAGCUUAUGCCAUGCUCUGCAAAGGGGCUGUAUCUUUACGAUCCGACCUACAUUCCAUAUGUGCUGACCGAAUAUCUGAAUGAUAAAUCAGAUGGAGCUCAGGUACAGACGCAAAAUGCUUGCCAUCACACCCCACGAAACUUUGAUGGGUCCGAGAAGAAGCGGCAGCGACUUUCACAGACAGAAUCUGAAGUCUGA
rnacentral:rRNA from 1 species